AGAGUUUGAUCCUGGCUCAGAUUGAACGCUGGCGGCAUGCCUUACACAUGCAAGUCGAACGGCAGCACGAGAGCUUGCUCUUGGUGGCGAGUGGCGAACGGGUGAGUAAUAUAUCGGAACGUACCCUAGAGUGGGGGAUUACGCAGCGAAAGUUGCGCUAAUACCGCAUACGAUCUACGGAUGAAAGUGGGGGAUCGCAAGACCUCAUGCUCAUGGAGCGGCCGAUAUCUGAUUAGCUAGUUGGUAGGGUAAAAGCCUACCAAGGCUUCGAUCAGUAGCUGGUCUGAGAGGACGACCAGCCACACUGGAACUGAGACACGGUCCAGACUCCUACGGGAGGCAGCAGUGGGGAAUUUUGGACAAUGGGCGCAAGCCUGAUCCAGCAAUGCCGCGUGAGUGAAGAAGGCCUUCGGGUUGUAAAGCUCUUUUGUCAGGGAAGAAACGGUGGACUCUAAUACAGAUCACUAAUGACGGUACCUGAAGAAUAAGCACCGGCUAACUACGUGCCAGCAGCCGCGGUAAUACGUAGGGUGCAAGCGUUAAUCGGAAUUACUGGGCGUAAAGCGUGCGCAGGCGGUUGUGCAAGACAGAUGUGAAAUCCCCGGGCUCAACCUGGGAAUUGCAUUUGUGACUGCACGGCUAGAGUGUGUCAGAGGGGGGUAGAAUUCCACGUGUAGCAGUGAAAUGCGUAGAGAUGUGGAGGAAUACCGAUGGCGAAGGCAGCCCCCUGGGAUAACACUGACGCUCAUGCACGAAAGCGUGGGGAGCAAACAGGAUUAGAUACCCUGGUAGUCCACGCCCUAAACGAUGUCUACUAGUUGUUGGGUCUUAAUUGACUUAGUAACGCAGCUAACGCGUGAAGUAGACCGCCUGGGGAGUACGGUCGCAAGAUUAAAACUCAAAGGAAUUGACGGGGACCCGCACAAGCGGUGGAUGAUGUGGAUUAAUUCGAUGCAACGCGAAAAACCUUACCUACCCUUGACAUGUACGGAAUCCCUGAGAGAUUAGGGAGUGCUCGAAAGAGAACCGUAACACAGGUGCUGCAUGGCUGUCGUCAGCUCGUGUCGUGAGAUGUUGGGUUAAGUCCCGCAACGAGCGCAACCCUUGUCAUUAGUUGCUACGAAAGGGCACUCUAAUGAGACUGCCGGUGACAAACCGGAGGAAGGUGGGGAUGACGUCAAGUCCUCAUGGCCCUUAUGGGUAGGGCGUCACACGUCAUACAAUGGUACAUACAGAGGGCCGCCAACCCGCGAGGGGGAGCUAAUCCCAGAAAGUGUAUCGUAGUCCGGAUUGUAGUCUGCAACUCGACUACAUGAAGUUGGAAUCGCUAGUAAUCGCGGAUCAGCAUGUCGCGGUGAAUACGUUCCCGGGUCUUGUACACACCGCCCGUCACACCAUGGGAGCGGGUUUCACCAGAAGUAGGUAGCCUAACCGUAAGGAGGGCGCUUACCACGGUGGGAUUCGUGACUGGGGUGAAGUCGUAACAAGGUA
rnacentral:rRNA from 1 species